rnacentral:rRNA from 1 species
UACGGGGGGGGCAAGCGUUGUUCGGAAUUACUGGGCGUAAAGGGCUCGUAGGCGGCCAACUAAGUCGGACGUGAAAUCCCUCGGCUUAACCGGGGAACUGCGUCCGAUACUGGAUGGCUUGAGUUUGGGAGAGGGAUGCGGAAUUCCAGGUGUAGCGGUGAAAUGCGUAGAUAUCUGGAGGAACACCGGUGGCGAAGGCGGCAUUCUGGACCGAUAUUGACGCUGAGGAGCGAAAGCCAGGGGAGCAAACGGG